rnacentral:rRNA from 1 species
UACAGAGGUCCCAAGCGUUGUUCGGAUUCACUGGGCGUAAAGGGUGCGUAGGUGGUGGGGUAAGUCGGAUGUGAAAUCUCCGAGCUCAACUCGGAAAUGGCAUUGGAUACUACUCUGCUCGAGGGUUGGAGGGGGGACUGGAAUGCUUGGUGUAGCAGUGAAAUGCAUAGAUAUCAAGCGGAACACCAGUGGCGAAGGCGAGUCCCUGGACAACUCCUGACACUGAGGCACGAAAGCUAGGGGAGCAAACAGG